UACAGAGGUGGCAAGCGUUGUUCGGAAUUACUGGGCGUAAAGGGCGCGUAGGCGGCCAUCUAAGUCAGACGUGAAAUCCCCCGGCUUAACCUGGGAACUGCGUCUGAUACUGGACGGCUUGAGUAUGGGAGAGGGAUGUAGAAUUCCCGGUGUAGCGGUGAAAUGCGCAGAUAUCGGGAAGAACACCCGUGGCGAAGGCGGUUCUCUGGGACGGUACUGGCGCUGAGACGCGAAAGCGUGGGGAGCGAACAGG
rnacentral:rRNA from 1 species